rnacentral:misc_RNA from 1 species
AUCAUGGCCCGCCACACCACGGGCAACCUCCUCCUCAUGCACCACCUCUUGGGCCGCCGCCACCUCCUCCUCAUCAUCAUCAUCAUUAUCAAUAUAAUCAUCAUAAUUUUCCUCUUCAUCCAUCUGCAUCAUCAAUCCUUUUGAAUAAAUAAAACCAAGAUAUCAUCGUAUGAACAACAUAUAAAAACCAAAAACUGACUAACCAUCAGCUUCCCAUUGUCCAGGUCAUCGAAAUCUUCCAAAUCACUACCUCCAGUUUUUCUCGACUGCUUCUGUGAACCCAUUUUGAACCCUGAAAUUAAAAUUUUUAUUGGCCUAAUUGCAUGCAAAUACCUGAACUUUGACCCUUAUUUUUCUGAAAUUCUAUAAUGGAAUUUGUAUUUUUUUCAACUCUUAUCUCUGAUUAAAAUCUUAGGUGAAAUUAGUUCUUGCGAUUUCUGACAUGGCAGUCAACAUUAAAUCAGCAUGCCAUGAUCAUUAUAAAAAAUGCCACAUACAUAAUAUAUUAAUUUCUUCUUCUUCCUCACGUGAAUUUGUGCAGAGUUUUUCAUUAGAAUCGUUAAAAGUAAAACUAUUGCAAUGACAUAGGGAAUUAAAUAAAAACAAAUAACGGAAUAUAAUUUUUAGACUAUAUAUCCUUUAGCAAUAACAUUCAAGGACAUCAAUGCUAUGGUUAAUAUAGAAGAAAUGGGGAAAUUCUUUUGUUACUUUGCUUAAAACAAUGUAAAUAUACUUUGUAGAUAACCAUUAACCACUAUUAGAUGAAUUAAUAAUGGUUCAUCUAAUAACAAAAGCAACAAAGUGUAAAUAAGGAUAAUACAAAAAACAAAGCAAUCUUAUAAGGCACCAAGGAAAUUAUAAAUUCAGCACAAUACAAUCACAAGUUUGUUUAUUACUUCUGAUAUGUGGAAGAAUUCGAUAGUUGCAAAUUUUACAACUUAGGAUAUCGUUGGGAAAUUUAUGCCAUUGGCAGCAAAAUUUAAUCGCUUGCUUCUGCUUCACCAGACCAUUAAAAUUUAAAAUUUAAUGCCAUCAGAUGUGUGCACGGGUUUGCACAGUUCGGUUAUCCCCAAAUUGAGCCAAACUUCAGAUUUUUUUUCUUUUUCAGUAGGAACGAAGUUACUGAGCACCGAACUCAGUUGGUUCUUCAGUUCUUCACCAUAACCCACCGUUAAAAGACCCAAUGUUCUCCACCAGCUCCCCUAUAUCUUGGUUAUUCCGAAAUCUCCAACAUCAAACUCAUGCUUCAUGCUUAAUUUGAAGCACAAAUACAAUUGCAAAUAACAACAAAUAACAAAAAAGAGCUUAGGUUCCCAUUCCAUGAAAACCAUAUAGCCGAAACCCACAAAUCCCGUUCCAAGGAAAACAUUACCUAAAAAAAAUGGUGACCACAAAAUAAAUCUUGUAAUGAUUUAAAAUUACACAAAUCCAACCACAACUGCCCAAUCCCAUUGGGCAGCUGCUGAUCACAAGAGCAAAACAAUAGAUAACGCACCUAAGGUCGUGAUGGACAAAAGCAACUUUAAGAAUCCGAAAGGCAACUUCGUGAAGGACAGCAGCAGAAAGAUAUCGAGAGCAGCAGCACAAGGACUCAAAGUCAAGCCAUAGCAGCAGCUAUCGUCGACGGCAAGACAGAGGGCAUGGAGUAGUUCACCACGCGUGACUUGCCGAAGGAAUCAAUAGUAAGCCAAAGAAUCCGAGAGGCUGAAAAUAAAGGAAAUAUAUCGAGGGGCUGGGCGGCAGUGCAAAAAGAGAGCAGGGGGGAGAAUAAAAUUUUUAGGCUUUUAAUGUUUUAGCUUUUAGCCGUUCAAAAC